rnacentral:rRNA from 1 species
GUGCCAGCAGCCGCGGUAAUACGUAGGUGGCAAGCGUUAUCCGGGAUUAUUGGGCGUAAAGCGCGCGUAGGCGGUUUUUUAAGUCUGAUGUGAAAGCCCACGGCUCAACCGUGGAGGGUCAUUGGAAACUGGAAAACUUGAGUGCAGAAGAGGAAAGUGGAAUUCCAUGUGUAGCGGUGAAAUGCGCAGAGAUAUGGAGGAACACCAGUGGCGAAGGCGACUUUCUGGUCUGUAACUGACGCUGAUGUGCGAAAGCGUGGGGAU